AAGUCGUAACAAGGUUUCCGUAGGUGAACCUGCGGAAGGAUCAUUAACACGUAUCCAACGUUAAACCCCCCGUGAACCUUCAGUGGAGGGGGGCUCGCGCCCAGUGACCCGGUCGCCGGGUCGGCCUCUAGCGAUCGUGACUGCGCCAUUCGUACAGAGCUGGUGACACUUUCAGACACCAACAAGCAGAGGAAUGCCAGGCCACUUGCCUCAAGCUCAAGCACAGUCUACGCAGAAGUCCCUGAAUCAAAACUGUUCGGCAAUGAUUUACCAGGGAUUGCUACCUUUUCUAACGUCACCUUUGCAUGAAAACGGGCCUGCGCUUAAUUGUGCGGCCACCAAACUCGAACAACUGUUAACAAUGGAUAUCUUGGUUCUC
rnacentral:misc_RNA from 1 species